UACGUAGGGUGCAAGCGUUGUCCGGAAUUAUUGGGCGUAAAGAGCGUGUAGGCGGCCAGGUAGGUCUGCUGUGAAAACUCGAGGCUCAACCUCGAGACGUCGGCGGAAACCAUCUGGCUAGAGUCCGGAAGAGGAGAGUGGAAUUCCUGGUGUAGCGGUGAAAUGCGCAGAUAUCAGGAGGAACACCGACGGCGAAGGCAGCUUACUGGGCCGAUACUGACGCUGAGGAGCGAAAGCGUGGGGAGCGAACAGG
rnacentral:rRNA from 1 species